UCCUCCCAUCCGUGUCUAUUUGUACCCUGUUGCUUCGGCGGGCCCGCCCUUCGUGGCCGCCGGGGGGCUUCCCUGCCCCCGGGCCCGUGCCCGCCGGAGACCUCAACCAUGAACACUGUCUGAAGGUUGCAGUCUGAGUACCGAUACAAAAAAUCGUUAAAACUUUCAACAACGGAUCUCUUGGUUCCGGCAUCGAUGAAGAACGCAGCGAAAUGCGAUACGUAAUGUGAAUUGCAGAAUUCAGUGAAUCAUCGAGUCUUUGAACGCACAUUGCGCCCCCUGGUAUUCCGGGGGGCAUGCCUGUCCGAGCGUCAUUGCUGCCCUCAAGCACGGCUUGUGUGUUGGGCCCCCGUCCCCCUCCCAGGAAGGGGACGGGCCCGAAAGGCAGCGGCGGCACCGUGUCCGGUCCUCGAGCGUAUGGGAAGCAACUUUUUGUCACCCGCUCCUGUAGGUCCGGCCGGCGGCCUGCCCAACCCCAAC
rnacentral:misc_RNA from 1 species